rnacentral:lncRNA from 7 species
UGCAGUUUACUUCCACCCCUCCCCUUCUUCUUGGGUGCUCACUGAACGCCUGGUGCACAGUGCAGGGAGCUGUGCUGAUGAGAAGUGGCUCACCUUUGUCUCUUUGUUUGCUGCCCAGGUGGCUCAAUGAAUUCAGUCACUGCAGAGUGCAAUGGAAAAUGAGCAGCGGGGGCUGGCGUUCCCAGCAGCAGCUUGCAGGCUCACUGUGCAAGCCACUGUUGUAUUCGUGGAAGCUGAGCAUGCAUGUUAAUGCAUUUGGCCAAGGACAGCUCUGUUGUUUUGUUUGUGGAGGGAGUUCCUCAGUCAGCAUUCCUGCUGCACCACUCAGCCUCACAAGCUUGCAGCUCCACAGGAAUUUGGCUGUCUCAGAUCCAGCAAGCACAGAAGAGCCUUGUGAUGUUCAGGUGUUGUCUCCUGACUGGUGUUUCUCAGCUCAGUACUGGGGCCAGCCCUACUUAAUAUCUUUACAGAUCCGGAUGAGGGGAUUGAGUGCACCCUUGCUAAGUUUGCAGAUCACUCCAAGUUGCGAGCAAGUGCCAGUCUGCCUGAGGGUAUGAAGGCCCUGCAGGGGGAUCUGGGCAGGUUGGAUUCAUGAGCUGAGGACAAUUGUAUGAGCUGCAACAAGACCAAGGACACUUCAAUUACAAAAACCCCAUGUAUUGCUACAGGCUUGGGGCAGAGUGGCAGGAAGGACAUGGAGGAAAAGGAUCUGGGGCUGUUAGCUGACAGCUGGCUGAAAAUGAGCCAGGAGCGUGCCCAGGUGGCCAAGAAGCCUAAGUGGCCUCUUCUCCCAGGUUACAGCAAUAGGACAAGAGGUCAUGGCCUUAAGUUUCACAGGGGGAGGUUCAGGUUGGAUAUUAGGAAACGUUUCUUCUCAGAAAGAGCGGUGAUGCAUUGGCACGGGCUGUGCAGGGAGGUGGUGGAGUCACCAUCCCUCGAGGUGUUGAAGAGCUGUGCUGAUGUGGUACUAAGGAACGUGGCUUAGCAGGCACGGUGAGGAUAGGCUGACAGUUGGACUGGAUGAUAUUACUGGUCUUUUGAUUCUAUUAACUGGAGUCUGACAGCUUGCUCUACUUUGUAGGCAGGAAGAGCUGCCUUAAGAUACACAUACACUAAUACAAUCGUUAAUAAAUGCCUCCCUUUGAGGGGCUUUUUUU